CCAGUGGUUGUUCAGUGGUAGAAUUCUUGCCUUUCAUGAGGGAGACCUGGGUUCUAUUCCCAGCCAAUGCA
rnacentral:tRNA from 1 species